AUGAUGUCCCCAUCACAUCUCCUUGGGCUUCUGCUCCUCUGGGUUUCAGCCUCCAGGGGUGAUAUUGUGCUGACCCAGUCUCCAGACUCCCUGUCUGGAACUCCAGGGGAGAAAGUCACCAUCACCUGCCAGGCCAGUCAGAGCAUUAGCACCAGCUUACACUGGUACCAGCAGAAACCGAAUCAGCCUCCAAAGCUUCUAAUAAAGUAUGCUUCUUAGUCCAUCUCUGGGAUCCCCUCACGGUUCAGUGGCAGUGGAUCUGGGACGGAUUUCACACUCACCAUCAGUAGCCUAGAAGCUGAAGAUGCUGCAACUUACUACUGUCAACAGAGCAGUAGUAAUCCUCACACUGUGCUACACCCCAGAACAAAAACUUGCUCAGCCUGGGUGCAGUUGGGGAAUGACCUGACCAGCACCACAAAGAAAGGGUCACUGCCUUGA